CAAGUCAAUACCUUACUCGGAUUGCUUAUUUUUUAUGGCACAUACAUUAUAACCCGUGUGAUGGAUUGAAUAUCUUAUCAAAUUUUGGUGCCUUUAUGCAGUUGCCCAUAGUAGGUCUCCUAUUAUCUAUUGUUUUGCAUUCCUUUCGCUCUAUUGUUUUCUCAAGCUUCGGCCUUGGUUGGUCCACCUUUCCCAUUUAGAGUGUAAUUUGCAGCGCCGAGUUGCCCACAAUUGACAGCCACAAAAUGGUCACAUAUCUAUGAGCUCCUUUAUUCAUCGUAUGUUGUUGAAAAUAUUAUGUUUAUGAGCCUUGAUCGUUGUGUCAAAAACAAAUCAGGAUUCUUUUAUUUAAUUUUUUUCCUUUUAUUUGUACAAUUCCUAAUUCAUUUUAUCACUCAUUUCUUUAUGUUCUUUCAGACCCCUCAACAU